rnacentral:tRNA from 1 species
GAAGAAUGAAAAUCAGGAAUAAGCUUCUAACUUCUUUCCUAAGCGGCGCACCACCGUUUAUUCUUCU